rnacentral:rRNA from 1 species
CAAAGGGCGCACGGUGGAUGCCUUGGCGCUGUAUGCCGAAGAAGGACGCGGUCACCUGCGAAAAGCUCCGGGUAGUUGGUAGCAAACGUCGAUCCGGAGAUCUCCGAAUGGGGCAACCCGAUCAGGAUCAACCCUGAUCACCCGUACCUGAAUUCAUAGGGUGCGAGGAGGGCACCGAGGGAACUGAAACAUCUCAGUACCUCGAGGAAAAGAAAAGAUUCCCUGAGUAGUGGCGAGCGAAACGGGAAGAGCUCAAACGCGAUACGCGUGAUAGCCGGCAGGCGUUGCGUGUCGCGGGUUGUGAGGCGCGAUAGCCGAUCUGCCGAUCGGCGACGAAGUUAUAGAAAAGUGUUCGUUAGUGGAAGGUGCCUGGAACGGCCCACCACAGACGGUGAUAGUCCCGUACACAGAUGCGGACACUCUUCGAUCGCUGUCCUCGAGUACCACCAGGAAGGUCUCCAUGGUGGGAAUCUGGGCAGACCAUUGUCCAAAGCUAAAUACAUCCAGCGACCGAUAGUGAACUAGUACCGUGAGGGAAAGGUGAAAAGCACCCCGGGAGGGGAGUGAAAUAGAAACUGAAACCGUGCGCCUACAAGCAGUCGAAGCGUGUUGCCGGCUUUACCGCCGGUAGCGUGACGGCGUGCCUAUUGAAGAAUGAUCCGGCGAGUUAGCUGUAUGCGGCGAGGUUAAGGCCUAACGGCUGGAGCCGAAGCGAAAGCGAGUCUGAAUAGGGCGUGGAUCGCAAGAUCCGUAGUCGCAUGCACUAGACCCGAAACCGAGUGAGCUACCCAUGGUCAGGCUGAAGCGGAGGUAAAACUCCGUGGAGGGCCGAACUCAUUUGCAUUGAAAAGCGACGGGAUGAACUGUGGGUAGAGGUGAAAUGCCAAACGAACUCGGAGAUAGCUGGUUCUCCCCGAAAUAGCUUUAGGGCUAGCGUCACGUGUUCACUCACAGAGGUAGAGCACUGAAUGGGCUAGGGGGCUUAUCGCUUACCAAACCCAAUCAAACUCCGAAUGCUGUGAGUCUUAAGCGUGGCAGUCAGUCUCCGGGGGCUAAGCUCCAGGGACAAAAGGGAAACAGCCCAGACCAACAGCUAAGGUCCCUCAAUCCAGGCUAAGUGGCAAAGGAUGUCGAAUCGCUCAGACAACCAGGAUGUUGGCUUAGAAGCAGCCAUCAUUGAAAGAGUGCGUAACAGCUCACUGGUCGAGUGAUCCGGCGCCGAAAAUCCAACGGGGCUCAAGCCUGGUACCGAAGCUUUGGAUCGACGGGCUCCUUCGGGAGUCCGUGGGUGGUAGGGGAGCGUUCCACGCGCAGUGAAGGUAGACCGUGAGGACUGCUGGAGCUCGUGGAAGUGAGAAUGCCGGAACGAGUAGCGAAAUGUGCGUGAGAAACGCACACACCGUAUGCCUAAGGUUUCCUGAGGAAGGUUAAUCCGCUCAGGGUCAGUCGGGCCUAAGCCGAGGCCGAAAGGCGUAGGCGAUGGACAUCUGGUCUACAUUCCAGAACCGCUCUGAAUCGUUAUCAACGAAGGGGUGACCCAGUCUGGUAGUCCCAGCGCACUUUGGCUAUGUGCGUCUAACGUCGUAGCCGUCUCCUGAUAGGCAAAUCCGUCGGGAGGUCAAGGUGAAAACGGAAUGCGAGCCGCAGCAAUGUGGCAAGUGGGGUGAGCCAAGCUGGCGAGAAAAGCCUCUAGUGAGAUGAAGAGUGCCCGUACCGCAAACCGACGCAGGUAGGCGGGUAGAGAAUACCAAGGUGAUCGGGAGAACCCUCCUUAAGGAACUCUGCAAAAUGACCCCGUAACUUCGGGAGAAGGGGUGCCUCGCACGCCUCGCAUUUAUUUGUGAGGGAAGUGAUCGAGGCCUCAGAUAAACGGGCCGAGCGACUGUUUAACAAAAACACAGGUCUCUGCGAAGGGGAAACCCUACGUAUAGGGGCUGACACCUGCCCAGUGCCGGAAGGUUAAUGGGAGAGCUGAAAGGCUUGAACUGAAGCCCCGGUGAACGGCGGCCGUAACUAUGAACUGACCGUUGUAGUUUCGAGAACAAAACCUGGCUAUUUGCUGGAACAUCCGAGGAUCCUGGGCUACCGCCGGCGACGGCGGUGACAACGCCGCAGGUGCGGACAAUCAGCAGGAAAGAUCUCAGCUGUGCCAAACGGCUGGGGAAUCCUCAGAGACUUUACGCCGGGCUCCGACACGCACACCGAUGCCGGAGAUGAGAAAGUCCGAACUGCAUGGCGACAUGCAGAGUGGGUAAGGCUAUCGAACCCCACCGUCCGACAGACCGUCGGAUCGCAACACGUGAACGGUCCUAAGGUGGAAUAGCUGCCUUAGAGAAAUCUGGCUAUUUGCUGGAAUCUCUGGCGCAUCCCCCGGUGCUUAAUCAAGCAGCUGCCGAUCUCGGUAGUGAGUUGACGAGCGAAAAUCUGCGGGGCGUUCCUCAUGAAGAUGGGGAGCCAGACAAUCAGCAGGAAAGACCAAUCACGAUCGGAUGGAUCGUUGGCUUUGUUGACGGUGAGGGAUGCUUUUCGAUCGGACUCGUCCGGCAGCCGGACCGUCCGAGUCGCAAGGGCUACCGAAUCGGAUAUCAAGUGACCUACGACUUCACCGUGACCCAAGGGGCUCAGAGCCUUGGGUGUCUAGUGGACUUGCAGAAGUACUUCUCCGUUGGACACGUCUACCGCAAUCCGCGGCACCACAACCACUCAGAAGACCUUUACCAGUUCAACGUCAGCAGGCGGCGAGACCUACUCGAGGUUGUCGUUCCGUUCUUCCGCAGCAAUCAGUUGCGGACGGCGAAACGCGAAGAUUUCGAGAAGU